rnacentral:lncRNA from 1 species
CCUCGGCCUCCCAUUGGUCAGCGGGGGAGGCGGGACCAGGGAGCCGCCGCCUCUGAUUGGCUGAGGCGGGAGCGCGGGAAAACGGCGGCGGGGAGGCUCUCCCGGCGUGCACCGCGCGGGGGAACUGAUCGCGAUGGCCGAACCCCGCCUGGCUCCUCCCAGUUCCUCCCAGUGCUCCCAGUUUGCUCCCAGUUCCUCCCAGUGCUCCCAGUUACCCCCUCCCAGUUCCUCCCAGUGCUCCCAGUUACCCCCUCCCAGUUUGGGGGGGCUCAUCCCCCCCUCCCACUUCGUGCUGCGCUCCAGGCCGCUGGGGGCGUGGCUUGAUGGAGAAAAUGGGCGUGGCCACGACCUGGAGGCGGAGCUUAAAGCGCUGAGGGGGCGGUGCCAAGCGCUGGAGGCGGAGCUGAGAGCAGAAAAGGGGCGGAGCCAAGCGCUGGAGGCGGAGCUGAGAGCAGAAAAGGGGCGGAGCCAAGCGCUGGAGGCAGAGCUGAGAGCAGAAAAGGGGCGGAGCCAAGCGCUAGAGGCGGAGCUGAGAGCAGAAAAGGGGCGGAGCCAAGCGCUGGAGGCAGAGCUUAGAGCAGAAAAGGGGCGGAGCCAAACCCUGGAGGCAGAGCUUGAGGCAGAAAAGGGGCGGAGCCAAAUCCUGGAGGAGGAGCUGGAAGUGUGGAGGGGGCGGGGCCUGGGAGCUGAGGGGGCGGAGCCAAACCCGGAACAGGUGCUGCUGUCCCGCUGGAGGCUGAAGGUUUU